rnacentral:misc_RNA from 1 species
AGCAGCCGCGGUAAUUCCAGCUCCAAUAGCGUAUAUUAAAGUUGUUGCAGUUAAAAAGCCCGUAGUUGAAUUUCGGGAUCAAUAUGUUGGUCGUGCCUUGGUACGUACUGGCGUCAUUGGUUUCUACCUUCUGAAGAACCUCGAUGUCAUUAAUUUGGUGUCUUGGGGAAUCAGGACUGUUACUUUGAAAAAAUUAGAGUGUUUAAAGCAAGCUCACGCUUGAAUACAUUAGCAUGGAAUAAUGAAAUAGGACGUUUGAUUCUAUUUUGUUGGUUUCUAGGAUCGACGUAAUGAUUAAUAGGGAUAGUUGGGGGCAUUAGUAUUCAAUUGUCAGAGGUGAAAUUCUUGGAUUUAUUGAAGACUAACUACUGCGAAAGCAUUUGCCAAGGAUGUUUUCAUUAAUCAAGAACGAAAGUUAGGGGAUCGAAGACGAUCAGAUACCGUCGUAGUCUUAACCAUAAACUAUGCCGACUAGGGAUCGGAUGAUGUUAAUUUUUUAAUGACUCAUUCGGCGCCUUAC